rnacentral:rRNA from 1 species
UUUUAUUGGAGAGUUUGAUCCUGGCUCAGGACGAACGCUGGCGGCGUGCCUAAUACAUGCAAGUCGAGCGCGGGAAGCAGGCUGACCCCUUCGGGGUGAAGCCUGUGGAACGAGCGGCGGACGGGUGAGUAACACGUGGGCAACCUGCCUGUAAG